rnacentral:rRNA from 1 species
GACGAACCGAGCGAACGUUAUUCGGAAUCACUGGGCUUAAAGGGCGCGUAGGCGGGCCGUCAAGUCAGGGGUGAAAGCCCCCAGCUCAACUGGGGAAGUGCCUUUGAUACUGACGGUCUCGAGGGAGAUAGGGGCGUGCGGAACUUCCGGUGGAGCGGUGAAAUGCGUAGAUAUCGGAAGGAACACCGGUGGCGAAAGCGGCGCGCUGGAUCUCUUCUGACGCUGAGGCGCGAAAGCCAGGGGAGCGAACGGG